rnacentral:rRNA from 1 species
ACUUUGUUGGGUGACUGCGUACCUUUUGUAUAAUGGGUCAGCGACUUAUUUUCAGUGGCGAGCUUAACCGAAUAGGGGAGGCGUAGCGAAAGCGAGUCUUAAUAGGGCGUCUAGUCGCUGGGAAUAGACCCGAAACCGGGCGAUCUAUCCAUGGGCAGGUUGAAGGUUGGGUAACACUAACUGGAGGACCGAACCGACUACCGUUGAAAAGUUAGCGGAUGACCUGUGGAUCGGAGUGAAAGGCUAAUCAAGCUCGGAGAUAGCUGGUUCUCCUCGAAAGCUAUUUAGGUAGCGCCUCAUGUAUCACUGUAGGGGGUAGAGCACUGUUUCGGCUAGGGGGUCAUCCCGACUUACCAAACCGAUGCAAACUCCGAAUACCUACAAGUGCCGAGCAUGGGAGACACACGGCGGGUGCUAACGUCCGUCGUGAAAAGGGAAACAACCCAGACCGUCAGCUAAGGUCCCAAAGUUAUGGUUAAGUGGGAAACGAUGUGGGAAGGCUUAGACAGCUAGGAGGUUGGCUUAGAAGCAGCCACCCUUUAAAGAAAGCGUAAUAGCUCCACUAGUCGAGUCGGCCUGCGCGGAAGAUGUAACGGGGCUCAAACCAUACACCGAAGCUACGGGUAUCACGUAAGUGAUGCGGUAGAGGAGCGUUCUGUAAGCCUGUGAAGGUGAGUUGAGAAGCUUGCUGGAGGUAUCAGAAGUGCGAAUGCUGACAUGAGUAACGACAAUGGGUGUGAAAAACACCCACGCCGAAAGACCAAGGUUUCCUGCGCAACGUUAAUCGACGCAGGGUUAGUCGGUCCCUAAGGCGAGGCUGAAAAGCGUAGUCGAUGGAAAACAGGUUAAUAUUCCUGUACUUCUGGUUAUUGCGAUGGAGGGACGGAGAAGGCUAGGCCAGCUUGGCGUUGGUUGUCCAAGUUUAAGGUGGUAGGCUG